rnacentral:misc_RNA from 1 species
UGGUUCUGGCAUCGAUGAAGAACGCAGCGAAAUGCGAUAAGUAAUGUGAAUUGCAGAAUUCAGUGAAUCAUCGAAUCUUUGAACGCACAUUGCGCCCCCUGGCAUUCCGGGGGGCAUGCCCGUUCGAGCGUCAUUCAACCCCUCAAGCCUGGCUUGGUAUUGGGUGCCGGACGGCCGUCCGCGCCUCAAAGUCCCCCGGCGGGCAACGACCCCGGCUCUCCGCAACUGAUCGUGUUGCCUGCGGACGAGGGGGGUGGCCUGGCCGUCAAAACGCAAUUCAAAAGGUUGACCUCGGAUCGGGUAGGGAUACCCGCUGA